GACGAACGCUGGCGGCGUGCUUAACACAUGCAAGUCGAACGGAAAGGCCCUGCUUUUGUGGGGUGCUCGAGUGGCGAACGGGUGAGUAACACGUGAGUAACCUGCCCUUGACUUUGGGAUAACUUCAGGAAACUGGGGCUAAUACCGGAUAGGAGCUCCUGCUGCAUGGUGGGGGUUGGAAAGUUUCGGCGGUUGGGGAUGGACUCGCGGCUUAUCAGCUUGUUGGUGGGGUAGUGGCUUACCAAGGCUUUGACGGGUAGCCGGCCUGAGAGGGUGACCGGCCACAUUGGGACUGAGAUACGGCCCAGACUCCUACGGGAGGCAGCAGUGGGGAAUAUUGCACAAUGGGCGGAAGCCUGAUGCAGCAACGCCGCGUGCGGAUGACGGCCUUCGGGUUGUAAACCGCUUUCGCCUGCGACGAAGCGUGAGUGACGGUAAUGGGUAAAGAAGCACCGGCUAACUACGUG
rnacentral:rRNA from 1 species